rnacentral:rRNA from 1 species
AUUGAACGCUAGCGGCAUGCUUUACACAUGCAAGUCGAACGAGUGGCGGACGGGUGAGUAAUGUAUCGGAACGUGCCCAGUGGCGGGGGAUAACUACUGGAAAGAGUAGCUAAUACCGCAUACUAUGGGAGCGGCCGAGAUGGGAUUAGCUAGUGGGUGGGGUAAAUGCUCACCAAGGCAACGAUCCCUAGCUGGGUUGAGAGGACGACCGGCCACACUGGGACUGAGACACGGCCCAGACUCCGACGGGAGGCAGCAGUGGGGAAUUUUGAACAAUGGGGGCAACCCUGAUACAGCCAUCCCGCGUGUAUGAGAAGGCCUUCGGGUUGUAAAGUACUUUUGGCAGAGAAGCGGUAUCUGCAGAAUAAGCACCGGCUAACUACGUGCCAGCCGCCGCGGUAAUUC